rnacentral:rRNA from 1 species
CCUACGGGUCGCAGCAGUGGGGAAUAUUGCACAAUGGGCGCAAGCCUGAUGCAGCCAUGCCGCGUGUAUGAAGAAGGCCUUCGGGUUGUAAAGUACUUUUAGCGGGGAGGAAGGUGUUGUGGUUAAUAGCCUCAGCAAUUGACGUUACCCGCAGAAGAAGCACCGGCUAACUCCGUGCCAGCAGCCGCGGUAAUACGGAGGGUGCAAGCGUUAACCGGAAUUACUGGGCGUAAAGCGCACGCAGGCGGUCUGUCAAGUCGGAUGUGAAAUCCCCGGGCUCAACCUGGGAACUGCAUUCGAAACUGGCAGGCUAGAGUCUUGUAGAGGGGGGUAGAAUUCCAGGUGUAGCGGUGAAAUGCGUAGAGAUCUGGAGGAAUACCGGUGGCGAAGGCGGCCCCCUGGACAAAGACUGACGCUCAGGUGCGAAAGCGUGGGGAGCAAACAGGAUUAGAUACCCCGGUAGUC